rnacentral:rRNA from 1 species
UGGCGAAAGGGUUAGUAAUAAAUAGGUAACGUACCUUAUGCUUCAGGAUAGCGUCAGAAAACUUCGGUUUUCAUCCGAAAGGGGCGGUAAUACUGAAUAAUAUCAUUUUUCGAUGGAAAAAUGAUCAAAGAUUUAUCGGCAUAUGAGCGGCCUAUUUCCUAUCAGCUUGUUGGUGAGGUAAAAGCUCACCAAGGCUAAGACGGGUAGCGGGACUGAGAGGUUGACCCGCAACAUCGGGACUGAGACACUGCCCGGACCUCCACGGAGGGCUGCAGUAACGAAUAUUGCGCAAUGGGCGAAAGCCUGACGCAGCGACGCCGCGUGUAGGAGGAAGUCCCUCGGGAUGUAAACUACUGUCGAGAGAUUAGAAAGUGCACUUCGGUGCAUUGAUCAGUCUCACAGGAAGUCACGGCUAACUUCGUGCCAGCAGCCGCGGUAAGACGAAGGUGGCUAGCGUUGUUCGGUGUCACUGGGCUUAAAGCGUGUGUAGGCGGAAAAGUAAGCGUCUUGUGAAAUCCCUCGGCUUAACCGAGGAAUUGCUGGGCGAACUACUUUUCUUGAGGCAAGUAGGGGUGCAUGGAACUCUUGGUGGAGCGGUGGAAUGCGUAGAUAUCAAGAGGAACGCCGAUGGAGAAAUCAGUGCACUGGGCUUGUCCUGACGCUGAGACACGAAAGCGUGGGGAGCGAACGGGAUUAGAUACCCCGGUAGUCCACGCCGUAAACGAUGUCUACUA